UGUACAACUCUGAGCGGUGGAUCACUCGGCUCGUGUGUCGAUGAAGAGCGCAGCCAACUGUGUGAAUUAAUGUGAACUGCAUACUGCUUUGAACAUCGACAUCUUGAACGCAUAUUGCGGCCAUGGGUUAGCCUGUGGCCACGCCUGUCCGAGGGUCGGCUU
rnacentral:rRNA from 1 species